rnacentral:rRNA from 1 species
AUUGAACGCUGGCGGCAUGCUUUACACAUGCAAGUCGAACGGCAGCGCGGGCUUCGGCCUGGCGGCGAGUGGCGAACGGGUGAGUAAUGCAUAGGAACGUGCCCAGUAGUGGGGGAUAGCCCGGCGAAAGCCGGAUUAAUACCGCAUACGACCUGAGGGUGAAAGCGGGGGACCGAAAGGCCUCGCGCUAUUGGAGCGGCCGAUGUUGGAUUAGCUAGUUGGUGGGGUAAAGGCUUACCAAGGCGACGAUCCGUAGCUGGUCUGAAAGGACGACCAGCCACACUGGGACUGAGACACGGCCCAGACUCCUACGGGAGGCAGCAGUGGGGAAUUUUGGACAAUGGGGGCAACCCUGAUCCAGCCAUGCCGCGUGCGGGAAGAAGGCCUUCGGGUUGUAAACCGCUUUUGUUCGGGAAGAAAUCCUCUGGGCUAAUACCCCGGGGGGAUGACGGUACCGGAAGAAUAAGCACCGGCUAACUACGUG